rnacentral:rRNA from 1 species
UACGUAGGGGGCGAGCGUUGUCCGGAUUCAUUGGGCGUAAAGAGCUCGUAGGCGGCUUGGCAAGUCGGGUGUGAAGACUUCAGGCUCAACCUGGAGCGGCCACUCGAUACUGCCAUGGCUAGAGUCCGGUAGGGGACCACGGAAUUCCUGGUGUAGCGGUGAAAUGCGCAGAUAUCAGGAGGAACACCGGUGGCGAAGGCGGUGGUCUGGGCCGGAACUGACGCUGAGGAGCGAAAGCGUGGGGAGCGAACAGG